CAACGAUGCACAUGUGUUUCGAAGAUUGUGUCGUUGUAGGACCAACUACAACCCUAUACAAUACGGCUGUGUUCUAUCUUAAGAAGUGUUGAUAAAUGUGACAUUGCAAUCAAUUCUUGUUUAGGAACGGUGAGUGGUCCAAGUCUUGCCUAAGGAGCCUCGACAUGAGAUUUUGCACGGCAACAGAAAAGAAUGGCUGGGAUCGCUUGGCUGGAGCGUACGACCACGCAAUGUCUAUGCUCUGUGACAACGCCGGAAAAGUUUUAACUGAUUUGAUAAAAUCAGCCCACUGCUGGGACAUACCCGGAUUUGCACAGUGCGCGGAGAGCGCAGACAUAAUGAAUAUCGAGAAAAAAUUUUUCGCACCCGACUGGACUUCAGGAGACUGCAGGAAAUUGGAAAACUCAGUGACAGCCUGUAUCCAAAAAAGUGUGAUAGGAGGAAAAAACUGUUCUUCAACUUAUGCUUUCGAGGCUAAGGAGAUAAUCUCAGCCUACCUUAGGAAGCUGAACUGUGAAUCAAGUACGAACGCUAUCAGUGCUACGACACCAACCAGUAUUUGUGUUAUGUUUUGGAUGUUUCUUGUUAACUUCAAGUAAAAACAAUUU
rnacentral:lncRNA from 1 species